UGGUAAAACACCCGAGGCACCACCAUGG
rnacentral:piRNA from 1 species